GUUUAUAUAAGCUUGUUCCAAUGUAUCAUUUUCACAUGCUGGUCUGUUUUGGCUAAGAAGAGCGUGUAACGUUUGUGUCAGGUGGACCGUAACAAUGUUGCAGCUGCCGAGGCCGAUAUUAAUCCUAUUAUGGGCUGUCAUUAUUGGCUCAGAUGACCUUCCAGGGCGACCAAAUCCCCCCUUAAACACCACCAAGCCGACUAAUGUGUCAGUUUAGAGCUAGAUCCAAAGAAGUGAGGCUUCUUUUCGUGGACUGACCAAUGACGGACCAAUGAAGGACUGAAGCUUAAAGUACAAAGGAAGAUUAUUUUAAUGAUGUUUCCAUCUGCAUUGUAAAUUGUAAUUCAAUAAAGCUAUGCCCAUCUUUAUAA